rnacentral:rRNA from 1 species
UACGAAGGUCCCAAGCGUUAUCCGGAUUUAUUGGGUUUAAAGGGUGCGUAGGCGGGUUGUUAAGUCAGUGGUUAAAGCUCCCAGCUUAACUGGGAAACUGCCAUUGAUACUGACAGUCUUGAGUAUGAUUGAGGUGGGCGGAAUGUGUCAUGUAGCGGUGAAAUGCUUAGAUAUGACACAGAACACCGAUUGCGAAGGCAGCUCACUAAGCCAUAACUGACGCUGAUGCACGAAAGCGUGGGGAGCAAACAGG